AUUUAUAUAGUUUAUAUAAAACAUUUUACUUUCAUUAAAAAAAUAGUUUAAUUACUUAUAAAUU
rnacentral:tRNA from 1 species